CGGGGCGUGGCGCAGCCCGGUUAGCGCACUUGACUGGGGGUCAAGGGGUCGUCAGUUCAAAUCUGACCGCCCCGA
rnacentral:tRNA from 1 species